UCCUCGUUUAAGCGAGGCAGUCUGUCCAGAGUGCUUCCUUCUCUCGAAGGAGUGGCAACAGGACACAAGGGUUGCGCUCGUUGCGGGACUUAACCCAACAUCUCACGACACGAGCUGACGACAGCCAUGCAGCAUCUGUGUGGCACCCUCGAAGGUCACACGUUUCCGUGCGCUUGCAGCCCCAUGUCAAGUCCAGGUAAGGUUCUUCGCGUUGCAUCGAAUUAAAGAACUUGCUCCGCUGCUUGUGCGGGCCCCCGUCAAUUCUUUUGAGUUUUAGCCUUGCGGCCGUACUCCCCAGGCGGGGCACUUAUUGCGUUUGCGCCGGCACCGAGGGGGUCGAUACCCCCGACACCUAGUGCCCAUCGUUUACGGCGUGGACUAC
rnacentral:misc_RNA from 1 species